rnacentral:rRNA from 1 species
AACACAUGCAAGUCGAGGGGCAGCAUCAUUAAAGCUUGCUUUGAUGGAUGGCGACCGGCGCACGGGUGAGUAACACGUAUCCAACCUGCCGACAACACUGGGAUAGCCUUUCGAAAGAAAGAUUAAUACCGGAUGGCAUAGUCUUCCCGCAUGGGAUGACUAUUAAAGAAUUUCGGUUGUCGAUGGGGAUGCGUUCCAUUAGGCAGUUGGCGGGGUAACGGCCCACCAAACCAACGAUGGAUAGGGGUUCUGAGAGGAAGGUCCCCCACAUUGGAACUGAGACACGGUCCAAACUCCUACGGGAGGCAGCAGUGAGGAAUAUUGGUCAAUGGACGAGAGUCUGAACCAGCCAAGUAGCGUGAAGGAUGACUGCCCUAUGGGUUGUAAACUUCUUUUAUACGGGAAUAAAGUGAGCCACGUGUGGCUUUUUGUAUGUACCGUAUGAAUAAGGAUCGGCUAACUCCGUGCCAGCAGCCGCGGUAAUACGGAGGAUCCGAGCGUUAUCCGGAUUUAUUGGGUUUAAAGGGAGCGUAGGCGGGUUGUUAAGUCAGUUGUGAAAGUUUGCGGCUCAACCGUAAAAUUGCAGUUGAUACUGGCGACCUUGAGUGCAACAGAGGUAGGCGGAAUUCGUGGUGUAGCGGUGAAAUGCUUAGAUAUCACGAAGAACUCCGAUUGCGAAGGCAGCUUACUGGAUUGUAACUGACGCUGAUGCUCGAAAGUGUGGGUAUCAAACAGGAUUAGAUACCCUGGUAGUCCACACAGUAAACGAUGAAUACUCGCU